AGAUUGAACGCUGGCGGCAGGCCUAACACAUGCAAGUCGAGCGGCAGCACGGGUACUUGUACCUGGUGGCGAGCGGCGGACGGGUGAGUAAUGCCUAGGAAUCUGCCUGGGUAGUGGGGGAUAACGCUCGGAAACGGACGCUAAUACCGCAUUACGUCCUACGGGAGAAAGCGGGGGACCUUCGGGCCUCGCGCCAUUAGAUGAGCCUAGGUCGAUUAGCUAGUUGGUGAGGUAUGGCUCACCAAGGCGACGAUCCGUAACUGGUCUGAGAGGAUGAUCAGUCACACUGGAACUGAGACACGGUCCAGGACCUCCGUACGGGAGCAGCAGGUGGGAAUAGUGGACAAGUGGGACAAAGCCUGACUC
rnacentral:rRNA from 1 species